UUGAGAUAGCACCCUUUGUUUAUGAGUACCCUUGUUUCCUCGGCGGGCUUGCCCGCCAUGAGGACAUCAAAAACCCUUUGUAGUAGCAGUAACUUCAGUUAAUAAUAAAUAUUAAAACUUUCAACAACGGAUCUCUUGGUUCUGGCAUCGAUGAAGAACGCAGCGAAAUGCGAUAAGUAGUGUGAAUUGCAGAAUUCAGUGAAUCAUCGAAUCUUUGAACGCACAUUGCGCCCUUCGGUAUUCCGUUGGGCAUGCCUGUUCGAGCGUCAUUUAAACCUUCAAGCUAUGCUUGGUGUUGGGUGUUUGUUCCGCCUCGGCGCGUGGACUCGCCUCAAAUUCAUUGGCAGCCGGUAUGUUGGCUUCGUGCGCAGCACGUUGCAAGCGACUUCAGCAGACUCCCUUCCAUCAAGCCCUUUUUUUACUUUGACCUCGGAUCAGGUAGGGAUACCCGCUGAACUUAAGCAUAUC
rnacentral:rRNA from 1 species